UACGAAGGGGGCUAGCGUUGUUCGGAAUCACUGGGCGUAAAGCGCACGCAGGCGGAUCGUUAAGUCAGGGGUGAAAUGCCGAGGCUCAACCUCGGAACUGCCUUUGAUACUGGCGAUCUUAGAGUCCGGGAGAGGUGAGUGGAACUCCGAGUGUAGAGGUGAAAUUCGUAGAUAUUCGCAAGAACACCAGUGGCGAAGGCGGCUCACUGGCCCGGUACUGACGCUGAGGCACGAAAGCGUGGGGAGCAAACAGG
rnacentral:rRNA from 1 species